UACAGAGGUCUCAAGCGUUGUUCGGAUUCAUUGGGCGUAAAGGGUGUGUAGGUGGCGCCGUAAGUCGGGUGUGAAAUUCGAUGGCUUAACUCCGAAACUGCAUUCGAUACUGCGGUGCUUUGAGGACUGGAGAGGAGACUGGAAUUCAUGGUGUAGCAGUGAAAUGCGUAGAGAUCAUGAGGAAGACCAGUGGCGAAGGCGGGUCUCUGGACAGUUCCUGACGCUGAGGCACGAAGGCCAGGGGAGCAAACGGGG
rnacentral:rRNA from 1 species